GAUGAACGCUGGCGGCGUGCCUAAUACAUGCAAGUCGAGCGAACAGAUGAGGAGCUUGCUCCUCUGACGUUAGCGGCGGACGGGUGAGUAACACGUGGAUAACCUACCUAUAAGACUGGGAUAACUUCGGGAAACCGGAGCUAAUACCGGAUAAUAUAUUGAACCGCAUGGUUCAAUAGUGAAAGACGGUUUUGAUGUCACUUAUAGAUGGAUCCGCGCCGCAUUAGCUAGUUGGUAAGGUAACGGCUUACCAAGGCAACGAUGCGUAGCCGACCUGAGAGGGUGAUCGGCCACACUGGAACUGAGACACGGUCCAGACUCCUACGGGAGGCAGCAGUAGGGAAUCUUCCGCAAUGGGCGAAAGCCUGACGGAGCAACGCCGCGUGAGUGAUGAAGGUCUUCGGAUCGUAAAACUCUGUUAUUAGGGAAGAACAAAUGUGUAAGUAACUAUGCACGUCUUGACGGUACCUAAUCAGAAAGCCACGGCUAACUACGUG
rnacentral:rRNA from 1 species